GAACCUCCGACCCUCCCGGGUCCGAGGAUGGCGGGAGGACGCGGCCAGGCCGAGGAACCUCCGACUGGACCGGGCUAAGGAGGAACUCCCGGGGUGGCCGGGUCGAGCAACCUCCGGCCCAGCCGGGCUGAGGAACCUCCGACACCAAAGCGUCGGAGGAUCCGCAACUAGGCGGAGGAUCCAAGCCUCCGACCAGCUGAGGCCCCAGACAGAGGAUGAAGGAAGGGCUUGCAAUGUGAAAUUACGCAGGUGUAUUAGGGUCAGUAGACUGUGAUGAAAGAAUAU
rnacentral:lncRNA from 1 species